rnacentral:lncRNA from 1 species
CACCUCAUAUAAGAUCCAUAAGCCCUUUAAUCAUGAGACACACCCAACUUGAUCAAAUCAAGGUGGCGCUUAAGAAUAACUAUCAAGAAAAUUAAUUAGGAUCUUGCACCCUUAAUUAAUAUGAUCCAAAAUCUUAGACAUCCAAUAAUUGGAGUCCAAUAAAUCUAAUUCAUAUAGGUUAUUAGCAUAUAAUUAAGUUUGAAUUAUCUUAUCAAAUAAAAAAUCUAAUUGUUGCUCCUAGAUUGAUUUUGAUGAUUACAAAGC